rnacentral:lncRNA from 1 species
GAGAUUAAAAGAUACAUUUAAUACACUAGACAGUAAUAGCAUAUUUGUCAAAAGAAGGGUUAAUGGUGUUAAAGCAGUCUAAGGUCCUUGAGUUAUCCAGAAGACAAUCAUUUUGAUUAAUUUUAUAUUUUAGACACUGUAUGUUUUAAUUUAUUUAAAAUAAUAAAACUAAAGAGUAAAACAUCUAAAUUAGAGGGGAAAGGUGAAAUAAAAAACAUUUAGUAAAUUUCACAGAAGGCAGGAAAAGGUUUUAAAAAGGAACAUCUGAAACCCAAAUUAAGAUAGGUUUAAAUCCAUCAUGAAGGUUAUAUGAUAGUGGAGGAAACAAACAGCUAACGAGUCAAGUGAAUAUACAUGUAAUUUUACAUAGCAAUAUAUACUAUGCAGAAAAACCCAACAGGGUAAAGCAUUAGAUGCUGCCUAGGAGGAGACUAUUUUUAGGUAAGGGAAGACCUAAGAUAGAAAGAGGAGGUAAGUAAGACUCCAAGGGUUUUUAUCGUGAGCAAUAACAGGUUGAGAAGGGAAGAGGAGCCAAGGAGACUGAGGAGACAGCCAGUGAAAUGGGAGGAAGUGUUUCAAGAAGGAUGGUAUGAUCAACUGUGAAAUUAAGAAUGCUUGGCUUAUUUACUACAAACAUCUCUCCCAGACCUGGAAACACAGCCAGUAGCAAGGUCAGUAUUAAGUUACCACAAGGCCAGGCACAGUGGCUGAUGCCUGUAAUCCUAGCACUUGGGCAGGCCAAGAAAGGCGGAUUGCUUGAGCCCAGGAGUUCAAGAGACCCGCCAUGGGCAACAUGGUGAAAUUGCAUCUCUACAAAAUGUACGAAAAAUUAGCCAGGCGUGGUUGCACGUGCCUGUAGUCCCAGCUAUCUGGAAGGCUGGGGUGGAAGGACCACCUGUACUCCAGCCUUGGUGACAGAGUAAGACCUUGUCUCAACAUCAACAACUGCAAAAGAGUUACCAUAGACUCAACAGGGGACAUAUAAAUCUACAGCGCACAGUGGCUAAACGCAAGGGUUCUGAGGCCAGACUAUCUGAAUUGUGGUUUAACCUCCUUCUAGUUGUGAUCUGUGUGAUCUUGGGUAAGUUAUUUAAUCACUCUGUGCUUUGGUAUCCUCAUCUGUAAAAUGGGGAUAAAGAAUUUGUUUCCUCUAGUUGUCAUGAUUAAACGAGUUUUUUUUUUUGAGACAGGGUCUCACUCUGUUGCCCAGACUGGAAUGCAGUGGCAUGAUAAUAACUGUCUGCAGCCUCCCAACUCCUGUGCUCAAGUGAUCCUCCCACCUCUGCCUCCUGAGUAGCUAGGGCUACAUGUGCCUGCCACCCACCAUGCCUGGCUAAUUUUGUAUAUGUUUUGUAGAGAUGGGGUCUGCCUACGUUGCCCAGGCUGGUCUCGAACUCCUGAGCUGAAGCAAUCCUCCCACCUUGACCUCCCAAAGUGCUGGGAUUACAGGUGUGAGCCACUGCACCCAGCCAAUUUUUUUUUUUUUUUUUUUUUUGCGACGUCGUUUUGCUCUUGUUGCCCAGGCUGGAGUGCAAUGCUCUGUCUCAAAAAAAAAAACAAAAACUAUGAAGUAAAUUAUGGUUGAAACAUGUUUAGUUCUUAACUGCAGUAUCUUGCAUUUAAGGUGUAUGUUCAUAACAAGUUAUAUUUCUAUUGUCAUAAAGAACGUUCUAUUAAAUGCUUACUGGCUCAGAAUCCUAUUACUUUUUGCCAGUUAGAUUAUGGCCGUUUCUCUUUUAGUCUAAAAUAAACUCAGCUGAAAAGUAACAAUAAACACUUUAUGUAUACAGAUUAACAACAAAAAAUAGAAGGUAACCUGCUUGGUGUUAGAUAUUGUAAUAAGCCAAACAAGUAACUUUUGUGUAAACACUGAAGUAAGUGCUUUGAAGAAUUCAUAAAAGUUUAUGACUCUAAUUCAUGUGAGAGAUAAAAUGCAUAUACAUCAGAAGAUUACACAAUGAAAGUAUAUGGCUAACGACUAAUGAAUGAUAUAGUAAGUGUUAAAAGAGAUAAGAUGGGGCAGAGGUCACUACUGAUUGUAAAAAGUUUCAUGAAUGAAGCGAGACUUUUAUCUGGGUCUAGGAAAAUGAAGUCGUUACAAUCAUUACAUCUUAGUACAAGCAAGGAAUCAAAUAGUAUGUCUCUCAUGUGAACAUUUUAAGUAAAUAACUGGAGAAAGUACUUCAACAAAAUAAGGGAGCAAAAUAAUGUUGGCUCAAAAUGAGGUCGAAAAGUUGCAGGGCUCGGAUCGUGUUGCUAAAGGCAUAAAUUUGGGAGUCCUCAAGCUGUAGCUAAUAGUUAACGUCCAGAGAAGGUAGUGUAUAUUCCAUAGCCUCAUGCAAAGGAAUUCCAACUACGAAGACGAACCAGUUAAGGAGACCGAAAAGGGGGGGCCUGUAUGGAAAGGCAUAGCAACGAAUGUAAAAUUUCCCCAAUAAUACUCUAAAACUGCCCCACAGCUUUUUUAAUUUUGAAAAUUCAAAA